AUGAUCAUUAUGUUAAAAAAUUAAAUAUAUAUGAUUAAAAUAAAUGAUUUUUACUAGUAUUUAAAAUUGCCACAUUAUCCUAUGUAUUUCUAAACUAAUUUUAUAAAAAUGGAAGCCUUUAUCAAUUAAACCUUGUAAAUAGGUGACAUUUUGAGAAACUCUUUAAUAGGAGAGAGUGACAAAUAAACGUGACUGAAACUAGUUUAUUUUUUAUCAAAAUUGUCACAGAUAAACUAUAUCAGGUUAUAAAGGUGAAAUUAAGACAUUUCAAUUUUUUCUAGAACAUUUGAUUUGGGUAUAUUAGUAGAGUAGCAAGGGGAUUUUAUCACAUAUUUCAUUAAAAAUAGGCAUACCAGAAAUGUCAGACAAUAUGAAACUUUUAAAAGCACACAUUUGCAUGCUGUUGCUAUAUCACUUCAAAAAUGGUCAUAGCACAUUGCAAGGCAUGAGGAAAGGACACAAUCAUCAGACUGACCUGCUACAAUUGGUCAAGAAAUUGAAGAGUGCAGAUUUCUCACUUCAAGAUGAAAAUUGAUGACAACAUUCUCCUGCAACUGAUAGACAAUAAUCUGCAGUGACCAGCAGAGAAUUGACAAAGUUUAAUACCACCAUAACAAUGCACCAUCACAUACAGCAAAGAUGACCUCAGAGAAGCUCACCAGACUGGGUGGGAGGUUCUGCUUCAUCCACCUUACCGCCCAGACUUAUACCAUCUGACAACCAUCUAUUCAUGCCCCACAGAACCAUAUUGCCAAUAUUCAGUUUGAUGACAAUGCCCAUGUGAGAAAGAUGUACAAGACUUUCUUCAAAUACAAACUCCAGCUAUUCUAUGCUCACAGGAUUGAAAGUUUGCAGCAAAGGUAGUGAGAUGUGAUUGAUAUUGAUAGUGAUUACCUAUAAGACUGAACUGUAAUCAUUGUUAAUUGUCAAUAAUCAUUGAUACAUUAUUUAUGGCUGGUACAGUGACAUUUACAUUGCUUAAUACAAGAUAUGCCAGAAAGGUAAGAUUACUUCUAGGUGUUCAUUUCCAAUGUUUUAUGCCCAAUAUCUCUAUAACUAAAGAGAAUUGACCAUGCCAUUGUUACCUCAAAACCAUUUUGUGAUCAGAAAUCCACUCUUGUUUUUUUUUGUUAUUUUGUUCUGAUGCAUCCUGUAUGUGCAUUUUUAAUUAUUUUAUAUGGUGUUUUUAUUGUAAUAGCAUUUUUAUUCUUUCAAAAAUCAAGAGUUUUAUUCAUUAUUUAGAUUCAGAAAGUAUAUAAUAAUGGAAAAGUUAUUGUAAAGAUUAAUCCUUUAAACUUUAUGAGUUACAUAUAGAACCAAACCUGAUAUACUUUAUUAAUCAAAUGAUACAGCUGGAUUAUUAUUGGGCUACAGUAUGGUAAUUAAUUAAUAUAACAAACAAUUUGGACUAGAAGUAUCUGGUCAAGCUGCUAUCUCAGACUUCAGGAAUUUCUAAAAUUUGAUGAUAAUGAUGUAUUUUUUUGUCUAAGAUUUAUAAUUGAUUUAAUUAUUAUAAAUAUGUAUGGUGUUUUAAAGGUAAAAUAAAAUUUACAUUUUCCAAAUGUAAAAAUAUUUUAUUUUACAUUAUAGCACAUCCAACAUGCCUUCAGUUCACACCAAAUAUGACAAACUCAGUCAAAAAAUACAGAUGGCAGUGUAUUGAAUGCAAGUCCUGUGGUCUCUGUGGCACAUCUGAUAACGAUGAUCAGUUAUUGUUCUGUGAUGAUUGUGACCGGGGCUAUCACAUGUAUUGUCUAAAUCCUCCUCUCUCUGAGCCACCAGAAGGUUCAUGGAGUUGUCAUUUAUGCAUUGAAGAAUAUGGAAAGAAGUGACCUUUACUACUAUACAAAAAUACCAUUCCGUCGAGAGCCUUAAGUAAUUCAUUUGUCAUUACUAUUUCACUAAGGAUAACUAUUCAUCUGUGACCGGCGGCAUACCUAGAAAUUCUCCUGGCCGCUAAAAUGUCAAUGUGUAUUUGUGAAUUCUGUUAGAUCCAAGAAACGUUUUAUAUAUUAUUUUUGCUGCUUUGCGCAGAAAGUUUUAAACAGCACAAAAAUAACAGUUUAUAUUUAUGUGUAAGUCUGGUACUUACUAGUUUUAAUAUUUUAUCCCAAAAAUAUAUGCUUUAAUCAUUUCCAAAAAAAAAAAAACAAAUUAAUAUUGUAUUGCUAUAAUAAAA